AAAAAAAGAAGAAGAUAAA
rnacentral:sRNA from 1 species